CCUACGGGGGGCAGCAGUGAGGAAUAUUGGUCAAUGGACGCAAGUCUGAACCAGCCAUGCCGCGUGCAGGAAGACGGCUCUAUGAGUUGUAAACUGCUUUUGUACGAGGGUAAACGCAGAUACGCGUAUCUGUCUGCAAGUAUCGUACGAAUAAGGAUCGGCUAACUCCGUGCCAGCAGCCGCGGUAAUACGGAGGAUUCAAGCGUUAUCCGGAUUUAUUGGGUUUAAAGGGUGCGUAGGCGGUCGGAUAAGUUAGAGGUGAAAUCCCGAGGCUCAACUUCGGAAUUGCCUUUGAUACUGUUCGGCUAGAGAGUAGUUGCGGUAGGCGGAAUGUAUGGUGUAGCGGUGAAAUGCUUAGAGAUCAUACAGAACACCGAUUGCGAAGGCAGCUUACCAAGCUACUUCUGACGUUGAGGCACGAAAGCGUGGGGAGCAAACAGGAUUAGAUACCCUUGUAGUC
rnacentral:rRNA from 1 species